ACGGGGUGCAGCAGGCGCGAAACCUUCACAAUGUGCGAAAGCGCGAUGAGGGGAUCCCAAGUGCUUGCUCGUAAGAGUAAGCUGUUUUUAUGUCUAAAACGCAUAGAGAGUAAGGGCUGGGUAAGACGGGUGCCAGCCGCCGCGGUAAUACCUGCAGCUCAAGUGGUGACCGCUAUUAUUGGGCCUAAAACAUUCGUAGCCGGUUUGGUAAAUGCCUGGGUAAAUCGUGUAGCUUAACUGUACGAAUUCCGGGUAGACUGCCAAACUUGAGACCGGGAGAAGCUAGAGGUACUCCUUGGGUAGAGGUGAAAUUCUGUAAUCCUAGGGGGACCACCAGUGGCGAAGGCGUCUAGCUAGAACGGGUUUGACGGUGAGGAAUGAAGCCCUGGGGCGCAAACCGGAUUAGAUACCCGGGUAGUCCAGGGUGUAAACGCUGCUUGCUUGAUGUUAGUUGGGCUCCGAGCCCAAUUAGUGUCGGAGAGAAGUUGUUAAGCAAGCUGCCUGGAAGUACGAUCGCAAGA
rnacentral:rRNA from 1 species